UUCCUGUGAGGACUGUCCUGUCUCCCUCACCGGGACAUGUCCUCAGCCUGGUUACAUGAUGCAAUAUGACAGAGAGCUUACAGAGCCAUGUCAUUUGCUGCUUCAUUUCCUGGCACAGCUCGGCCACGGGGCUAUGCUUUUUUCCUGCCUCAUUCACCUGUAGCUGUUUGUUUUUCUCCUUUUUACCACUCCACAGUGAAAUUAACCAGCGUCCUUCUGCUGUCAGGCAGUUUCACACACACUGUAGGGAUGAACAACAGACAUCUUGCACGGAGUAUACGCAAGCUGCCAGGAAAACUGCCGACUCCAGCAACCAAGAAACAAAGUUAGGGUCUCUGGGAUCGUUCCUCUCCCUCAUUUGGAGCUGACAUCUCACCAAAACAACAGCAGAGAAAAUAUGCGACACACAUGGAGGAGAGGAUUGGAUUUGAGGAGAUACUGACGGGGGUGCACAGCUGCAGCAGUCCCCUCCACCUCCCCAUCUCCACACCAGGACUAUCGCCCCUCUCCCUCGCCCUCUCACACACUCUCUCUCUCUCUCUCUCUCUCUCUCUGUCUCUCUCUGUCUCUCUCUCUCUCUCUCCCUCUCUCUCCCCGUCUCUCUCUAUCUGUCUUUCUGCCUCUGUGAGGGGUGGGGGGCGCCAUAUGGGAGCUCAGAAAAAUGGAAGUGGAUCGGAGAUAGAAGAGAGGAAUCUUUCAGUCUUGGGCUCGGAUGUCGGGAUCUAUGCGAGAGGACAGAACUCGACCUGGGACAAAAUGAACCCCUGAGCAUGGCACAUCCAUGAAGGGAGCCCUGGCAAUUGUCUCUGUCUCUCUCCCCGUGUUCCCAGAGUGACGAAGAGGAAGAGGAGCCUGAGCAGGAGGAAGGGAUAGGAAAAGGAAAAGAGGUGGGGGGUGGCUCUCUCUCUGCCAGUGCAAAAGCAGAGCCUAGCUUUCUCCUCGUUAUUAGUAUGCAGCGGGUGUCGCUCGGGUGACACGGCUGCUGGAUUUGGACCCGACCGCAGGAGCGUCAGCACAGUGUCGGAGAGCAGGAUAGCAGGUAAGGGCAACUAGAACAGGAAGAAGAAAAGGAAAGGAGAGAUGGGAAGAUUGGGAGGGAGAAGAUCACGGGAGGAGGGGAGGGCAAGGGCUAGACUUCCUCUGAGGACCGUAGUCUCCUACACACACACACACACACACACACACACACACACACACACACACACACCACUGUGAUUCUUUUCACUCAGAUCCAGCCUCGCUCUCAAAGCCACAUCCAUAGCAUAACUGUUCAAAGUAAGUGUAAGAAAUACUCAUGUAAUCAUAAAACAAAUAUAAUUGCGUGUAACUGUAUGUUUUUUCUUGAGAUGCAUAGAAACUAGGUGCACUAUUUUGUAAUGUGUAAUCUCUGGGAUCAUACAGUUGUGUUUAUUGAAAUAAAAUUUGUGUUUCAUAUGGUGUAUGCAUUGUUUCCAUUAUUUUCCAUUUAUGUCAUUUGUUUUUAGGCCUUAUUAGAAAAUAAAAUGUUUGUACACUAGAUAUUGGAAUGCCAAAACUGUGCUUUGUAAAUAAUGUGAUGUCAUUAAAUGUUCUCUUUGAAUAUA